rnacentral:lncRNA from 1 species
GGCUUACUUGCUUUUUUAGAUACUCGACGCUACAAAAGCCUGCAGGAGACACAAUAAUAUUAAUAAUUUCAUUUAACUCUUCAAAUGUAAGCCUGCAUUAUUAAGGAUCAUUUCUAAUUAUUUGAUUUCACAAUAUAGUUUUUCCCAGGGAUCAAUAAACCACCUAAAAUUUUCUUUUAAGAGUAUAAGCAUGGUGAGCACCUAUCAUUGCAUUAUUACAAUUUCAAUCACACUUAUUUUUUCUGAUUUUUUUGGUGGAGUUAUAUUUUCUUUAUACAUGUAGAAUGAAAAUAGUCAUUUUUUCCCCAACUGAAAUAACAUAGUUAGUGGUCGACUCUGCAAACUUUUCAUUUAGCUUAAAUUGACAAAAGAGCAUUCACACAACAAUGUUCUUCACUGGAACUUCAUCAAACACCAUCCCUGCAUCAUUCAUAGGUAGCAACUUCAUCUUACAAAUCCACCAAACUGGUACUGUCAAACACACUCGACUAUCAACCUGAUUUCUCCACAUGGGUAUUUAUCAUUUUACUGACACCAACAUCUAUGACACAAGAUUAUGAUGUUAAAGGACAACAUAAGGUGUUAUCUAUAUAAACACUAUUCAAGAGUAAGAAAUAAAGGUUGUGGAAAGCUGAAGAAUGGAACCCAUAUUGAGAAAAAGGAUAUAUAAUUGAAUUAAAGAGGAGGUAUUUUGGGAUUGGGGAUUUUGAAGAAGUGGCUUAAGGCUUUGUGGGAGUGAUCUCCCACAGACCUCGCAAAGUGUUGAAUUUAUGCAUCAUAAAUUGAUCUCCUAAUUCAUCAAGCAUACUCUUUAACAAAUAGUUUCAUUGGUUAGAUACACAAAUUACAUCAAUAUAAGAAGCCGAGUAAGUGGAUUUGUCAGAAUGGAAAAGAAGAAAAAAGAAUAUGAGAGAUCAGUAGCUCGAUAAAGGCAAUUUGAUACCACCAGGAAAACCAAAACUAAAUUCCAAGAAAUCGAAAAUUGAUCGAUUGAAAAAUGCGGUUCAAGUAGCAAAUAUUCCAAUUUAACCAAAACUUUGAUUGCAGGGAUGAGAAUCCCAACCAAGUACCGAAUUUUUAAUUCAG